UCAGUCGACUCCUACGGGGAGGCAGCAGUGGGGAAUAUUGCACAAUGGGCGAAAGCCUGAUGCAGCCAUGCCGCGUGUGUGAAGAAGGCCUUCGGGUUGUAAAGCACUUUCAGUAGGGAGGAAGGUAGUGUAGUUAACACCUGCAUUAUUUGACGUUACCUACAGAAGAAGCACCGGCUAACUCCGUGCCAGCAGCCGCGGUAAUACGGAGGGUGCGAGCGUUAAUCGGAAUUACUGGGCGUAAAGCGCAUGCAGGCGGCCUGUUAAGUCAGAUGUGAAAGCCCGGGGCUUAACCUCGGAAUUGCAUUUGAAACUGGCAGGCUAGAGUCUUGUAGAGGGGGGUAGGAAUUUCAGGUGUAGCGGUGAAAUGCGUAGAGAUCUGAAGGAAUACCAGUGGCGAAGGCGGCCCCCUGGACAAAGACUGACGCUCAGAUGCGAAAGCGUGGGGAGCAAACAGGAUUAGAUACCCUGGUAG
rnacentral:rRNA from 1 species